rnacentral:rRNA from 1 species
CCCUUAGAUGUUCUGGGCCGCACACGCGCUACACUGAAGGAGGCAGCGUGUACUCCUGGAUCGAAAGAUUUGGGUAACCCGCGAAUCUCCUUCGUGCUAGGGAUUGAGGUUUGCAAUUAUCCUUCAUGAACGAGGAAUUCCCAGUAAGUGCAAGUCAUAAGCUUGCGCUGACUACGUCCCUGCCCUUUGUACACACUGCCCGUCGCUACUACCGAUUGAAUGAUUUAGUGAGGACUUCGGACUGGGACCGAUGCGGCUUUUGGGCUGCGUCGGUAUUCUGGAAAGAUGUCCAAACUGUAUCAUUUAGAGGAAGUAAAAGUCGUAACA